GAUGAAGAACGCAGCGAAAUGCGAUAAGUAGUGUGAAUUGCAGAAUUCAGUGAGUCAUCGAAUCUUUGAACGCACAUUGCGCCCUGUGGUAUUCCGCAGGGCAUGCCUGUUCGAGCGUCAUUUCAACCCUCAAGCUCUGCUUGGUGUUGGGCCCUGCCCGCUCGCGGCCGGCCCUAAAGACAGUGGCGGUGCCGUCUGGCUCUAAGCGUAGUACAUCUCUCGCUCUGGUGCCCGGCGGUGUCCUGCCAGAACCCCCCAACUCUGUGGUUGACCUCGGAUCAGGUAGGGAUACCCGCUGAACUUAAGCAUAUCAAUAAGCGGAGGA
rnacentral:misc_RNA from 1 species